AUACAAACAAAAGUCUGUAGAGCACUUUUUCUAUACUUCUCUCUCAUUUUUGUCGGUUCUCUCGACAUUCCUUCUUUCAUUCCUCUUCACAACGAAAGUCAAAUUCUUUUCUUUUCUUCUCUCAGUCGAAAAAUUGAUGGAGAUCCAAAAAUCGAGUCACAUAAGGUUUGAAAGAUGUUUGGAUUAGGUUAUUGAUCUGGAAUUGAUGGACCAUGAGGCUCCGUCAGAUCUCCACCAUGAGGAUUUUAUUUUUCUUGGAUCGGCUGAAUCUUCCCAUUUCAAUAAAUUCCUCUCAAGGUCCUGGAAAUCUUCACCUUGAGGCUCCGUCUGUCUCAUUGCAUGGCCAUCCAACCGAUUUCCGAAGAAAAGCUCAUUUCUUUACUAGUUUUUCAGUGUUGUUCAUCACUAUUGGCUUCUUCCAUGUGGGCUAUCCAAGAUCUUCUGGUAUACUGGUAUCUGACCGCCCAUAUAUUCUGUUCAGAUACAUAUUUCAGUUCUAGGCAAGCAGUACAUGAUAUUUGCAAACUCUAGUAAUAAUGGAACCAGUGAGCAACCUCUUGGUAUUUUAUCUCAUCAAAUCUGCGGUUCCCUUGGACAUUUUUUGGAGAUGACACUUGUGGGCCACUCCUCAGACAGUUUUGCACGACUUGCUGCAGCAUUAAACUGAGGCUUUGUAAUAUAACAAAGGAGGGGUAGGAUAAGAGCCUUGGAAGAAUUAUUAUUCUCUGUGGACACAGCAGCUCAGAGACUCUCUCUCUCUCUCUCUGUUGGGGAGAAGUGUCAGUAGGUAUAGCAUUGCUGCAGUAAGUGAAGAGUUGAUCACCUCACCUGUUCAUAUUGGCAGUCAGAUUAAACAAAAUUACAUCCUUUCCAGGUUGGGACUUGCAUAUGAUUGUUAGAAGAUGUAGGAAGCCUAAGUAUCUCCCGGAUUGUAGUGAUCCAUGAAGAGAUGCUGAUUCAUGAAGGAGAAGAAAGGAGAAGAUCAAGGCUGGAGUAAGGACAGCUGACCUCCAGAUAGUUUUUUAUUUGGUUUUUGAUUUUUUUUUUUUGUAUGAAAUUGUUGUGAGGAUGGUUUAGAAGCACGGUAACAAUAUGGAGUAUUGAAGGGAUUGGCAAAUUUUCAUUAUCAAUAUUUUUUUUCUAA